rnacentral:rRNA from 1 species
UAUUGCGCAAUGGAGGAAACUCUGACGCAGUGACGCCGCGUAUAGGAAGAAGGUUUUCGGAUUGUAAACUAUUGUCAUUAGGGAAGAUAAAAGACUGUACCUAAGGAGGAAGCCCCGGCUAACUAUGUGCCAGCAGCCGCGGUAAUACAUAGGGGGCAAGCGUUAUCCGGAAUUAUUGGGUGUAAAGGGUGCGUAGACGGAAGAACAAGUUGGUUGUGAAAUCCCUCGGCUCAACUGAGGAACUGCAACCAAAACUAUUCUCCUUGAGUGUCGGAGAGGAAAGUGGAAUUCCUAGUGUAGCGGUGAAAUGCGUAGAUAUUAGGAGGAACACCAGUGGCGAAGGCGGGUUGCUAGACUGUAACUGACACUGAGGCACGAAAGCGUGGGGAGCAAACAGG